GACGAACGCUGGCGGCGUGCCUAAUACAUGCAAGUCGGACGCUGAAGGAGGAGCUUGCUUCUCUGGAUGAGUUGCGAACGGGUGAGUAACGCGUAGGUAACCUGCCUGGUAGCGGGGGAUAACUAUUGGAAACGAUAGCUAAUACCGCAUAAUAGUAGAUGUUGCAUGACAUUUGCUUAAAAGGUGCAAUUGCAUCACUACCAGGUGGACCUGCGUUGUAUUAGCUAGUUGGUGGGGUAACGGCUCACCAAGGCGACGAUACAUAGCCGACCUGAGAGGGUGAUCGGCCACACUGAGACUGAGACACGGCCCAGACGCCUACGGGAGGCAGCAGUAGGGAAUCUUCGGCAAUGGACGGAAGUCUGACCGAGCAACGCCGCGUGAGUGAAGAAGGUUGUCGGAUCGUAAAGCUCUGUUGUAAGAGAAGAACGAGUGUGAGAGUGGAAAGUUCACACUGUGACGGUAUCUGAACAGAAAGGGACGGCUAACUACGUG
rnacentral:rRNA from 1 species